AACAUCCAUGAGGCUGAGGAAAAGAAAAUCUCACUGGGAGAGUAGUUAAACAAACAGGAAACAGAAAUGAUUCAAGCACUGAAAAAAAAUCUGUAAUGGCAAGAAUCAGUAUAUACCUUUCAAUAAUAAUGCUCAAGGCAGAAAAGGAGCCACUGUCCUCAUCAUUCCUGAUUGUUUCUAACCUACAAAUGCCUCCCACUUUCCCCAUGUUCGGAGGAAUGUGUGGAUCUUACAGAGCUCAAAAGUGUGCCUGUCUGCCUGCCUGCAGCAAAUCCCUACUAGCUGGAAAGGUGA